CAGUAGCGUAUAUUAAAGUUGUUGCAGUUAAAAAGCUCGUAGUUGGAUUUGUGGCGUACGACGGGCUCCGGGCACUUGUUGUCUGAGUAGCUUGUCGUUGCCAUCCUUGGGUGGAACCUGUGUGGCAUUAGGUUGUCGUGCAGGGGAUGCCCAUCUUUUACUGUGAAAAAAUUAGAGUGUUCAAAGCAGGCUUAUGCCGUUGAAUAUAUUAGCAUGGAAUAAUAAGAUAGGACUUUGUCGCUAUUUUGUUGGUUUGCGCGAUAAGGUAAUGAUUAAUAGGGACAGUUGGGGGUAUUCGUAUUCCAUUGUCAGAGGUGAAAUUCUUGGAUUUUUGGAAGACGAACUACUGCGAAAGCAUUUACCAAGGAUGUUUUCAUUA
rnacentral:rRNA from 1 species